CUUGUAAACAGAACAAGAAAGCACGACCACAUCACUCAUGUUUAGGCGUCUUUACACUGACUCCCUGUGUGUUUUAGAAUUUAUUUUGAAGGUCACAUAUUCUGCUAAAUACACUUCACUAUUUCUUCAUUACAUUAACAUGUGUCCCUAGUCUGUCUACAACCCCAAGUAAUGAUGAGAAAAGUCCAUCCUCUCCGUCCUUUAUCUGCUCUACUUUUCAGAAAAAGUGUGCUCAAACAGGCCGUUUGGAGAUUUUCCCUUCAUGACAUCACAAAGGGCAGUAACUCCUCCCCCAGGUGGGUGACACUCCCACAGCUAGGUGUUUGUUCUGCCCUCUGAGUCUGUCUUCUCAUCAGACACCCGAGCCCUUCCAGAGAGGGGGCGUGGUCAGACACAGCUCAUUUAAAGGUACAGACACAGAAACAGCCUGUUCUGAGCAGGGCUGAAAUAGAGGGGUUUAUAGGCAUGAUCAAAUACAGGAU